UGUUGAGGAAGAUAAUGACGGUACUCAACAAGGAAGUGACGGCUAACUACGUGCCAGCAGCCGCGGUAAAACGUAGGUCACAAGCGUUGUCCGGAAUUACUGGGUGUAAAGGGAGCGCAGGCGGGAGAUCAAGUUGGAAGUGAAAUCCAUGGGCUCAACCCAUGAACUGCUUUCAAAACUGUUUGUCUUGAGUAGUGCAGAGGUAGGCGGAAUUCCCGGUGUAGCGGUGGAAUGCGUAGAUAUCGGGAGGAACACCAGUGGCGAAGGCGGCCUACUGGGCACCAACUGACGCUGAGGCUCGAAAGUGUGGGUAGCAAACAGGAUUAGAUACCCUGGUAGUCCACACCGUAAACGAUGAUUACUAGGUGUUGGAGGAUUGACCCCUUCAGUGCCGCAGUUAACACAAUAAGUAAUCCACCUGGGGAGUACGACCGCAAGGUUGAAACUCAAAGGAAUUGACGGGGGCCCGCACAAGCAGUGGAGUAUGUGGUUUAAUUCGACGCAACGCGAAGAACCUUACCAAGUCUUGACAUCCCUUGACGAUGCUGGAAACAGUAUUUCUCUUCGGAGCAAGGAGACAGGUGGUGCAUGGUUGUCGUCAGCUCGUGUCGUGAGAUGUUGGGUUAAGUCCCGCAACGAGCGCAACCCUUAUGGUCAGUUACUACGCAAGAGGACUCUGGCCAGACUGCG
rnacentral:rRNA from 1 species